AGAGUUUGAUCAUGGCUCAGAUUGAACGCUGGCGGCAUGCUUUACACAUGCAAGUCGAACGGUAGGGUAGCAAUACCUGAGAGUGGCGAACGGGUGAGUAAUGCAUCGGAACAUGCCUAUUUGUGGGGGAUAGCCCGGCGAAAGCCGGAUUAAUACCGCAUACGAUCUACGGAUGAAAGCUGGGGACCGCAAGGCCUAGCGCAAAUAGAGUGGCCGAUGUCAGAUUAGCUAGUUGGUGGGGUAAAGGCCCACCAAGGCAACGAUCUGUAGCUGGUUUGAGAGAACGACCAGCCACACUGGGACUGAGACACGGCCCAGACUCCUACGGGAGGCAGCAGUGGGGAAUUUUGGACAAUGGGCGCAAGCCUGAUCCAGCAAUGCCGCGUGCAGGAUGAAGGCCUUCGGGUUGUAAACUGCUUUUGUACGGAACGAAACGGCUCUGGUUAAUACCCGGAGCUAAUGACGGUACCGUAAGAAU
rnacentral:rRNA from 1 species